GGAUUCGCCAGCCUAACGUAGAGGUGGAGGAAGACGCAGAUCCUAAAAGAAGAGAGACAGUAGAGACAGCAAGGUUUCUCACCUAUGGGAAACAGCAGAGAUUUGGGGGAUUUUCAAGCCAACUAUAAAGCAUACAACCAGCUUCUGAUUCAAUCUCUACAUAAAGUUUCAGAGGAAAUGAUGACACACAACAGGGAAAGCACGGUGGAAUGAGAACUGACAUGAGUGUGACUUUGCCACAGAAUCAUCAGCACCUCAGGAAAGUUUCAUCUGCACAGUCCCACGAGGCUGCCUGGCUUUCUUCCCUGUUGAGAUGCCUGUGCCAUUUGGUUAAAUGUCCCGUAGUACAUGUGCAAAGCUCUUUCUUAGUUAAAACUUCACAGCUAAAAUAGAGUGGUGAGCAUAGCACAUGCAUGUGCAUCUGCCCAUCACCCUGGACUUGUAUAGAGCUACAAUGCUGUUUUUCAAAGGUGGUGGUACGAAUAUGACAAGCAUGUUUCUUUUUUUUUUUUUUUUCAGAUCAUAGGCCAUUCUCCUUGACAGCCUUCCAUGUUGUGUCCCAAGAUCCGCUGAAGCAGCAGCUUGGCAUUUCAUCUCGACUGAUGAAUCAGCAAGCCUCCGGCAUCUUUCAGGACCUGCCCAUCCUGCCUGGCCUGUGCAAGGUUACAGAUGCCAGGCCACACAAUACCUGGCUUUUACAUGGGUUCUAGGAUUCAAAGUCACAUUUUCAUACAUAGUUGGACACUUUACCAUCUGACCCAUCUUUCCAUUUUAUGCUUUUCCUCUUUUAGAACCCUUGUUAUUUGACUGGCUUAUUGGGUCAAACUACAAAUAGCAAAAAUAAACAAUCUAGAGAAAAUGUUAAUUGUUGAGUGGUACUGAGCACUACCCUCAACAAUACUGCAUAGUGAAAGUGUGCUAAUUAUUCACAGAUGAUAACACAGUGUCUGAGACAAGCUUUAACUCAUGUCUGCCUAUGUGAUAGGAAAUUUUAAACUGAAAUGAAGCCCAUCAUUCAAAGAAUGUCCUCACAAUGAACUGGUAAAGAAGGAUCUCAAAUAAAUAAUGAAUAUCCUUGUUUUCCUUCCAAUUUUAUACCCUUAUUUUGUCUAGUAGCUGAACUCUGCAGAUAAAGUAAAAGAGUUGAAAAC
ensembl:lincRNA 4922502N22Rik RIKEN cDNA 4922502N22 gene